CCCUGCCAUUUGUACACACCGCCCGUCGCUACUACCGAUUGAACGUUUUAGUGAGGUAUUUGGACUGGGCCUCCCGAGGUUUGCGCCUCGGUUGUUGCCCGGGAAGACUCCCAAACUUGAGCGUUUAGAGGAAGUAAAAGUCGUAACAAGG
rnacentral:rRNA from 1 species